rnacentral:rRNA from 1 species
UGCAAGUCGAGUGGCGUUUUCGUAGCAAUACGGAAAUGGCGCACGGCGCACGGGUGCGUAACACGUGGGUAAUCUGCCCUCUGAUGGGGAAUAACUCGCCGAAAGGCGAGCUAAUACCGCAUAACAUUCCUUGGACUCCGGUUCGAGGAUUCAAAGGCGUAAGUCGUCGGAGGUGGAGCCCGCGCACGAUUAGCUAGUUGGUGAGGUAAUGGCUCACCAAGGCUAUGAUCGUUAGCUGGUCUGAGAGGAUGGCCAGCCACACUGGAACUGAGACACGGUCCAGACUCCUACGGGAGGCAGCAGUGGGGAAUCUUGCACAAUGGGCGAAAGCCUGAUGCAGCGACGCCGCGUGGGGGAUGAAGCUUCUCGGAGUGUAAACCCCUUUCGACCGGGACGAAUACCUCGCAAGAGGGGUGACGGUACCGGUAUAAGAAGCCCCGGCUAACUACGUGCCAGCAGCCGCGGUAAGACGUAGGGGGCCAGCGUUGCUCGGAAUUACUGGGUGUAAAGGGUUCGUAGGCGGUGUGGCAAGUCGGGAGUGAAAUCUCUGGGCUCAACUCAGGGGCUGCUUCCGAAACUGCCGUGCUAGAGUGUGGGAGAGGCGCGUGGAAUUGCAGGUGUAGCGGUGAAAUGCGUAGAUAUCUGCAGGAACACCCGUGGCGAAAGCGGCGCGCUGGACCACUACUGACGCUGAGGAACGAAAGCUAGGGGAGCAAACAGGAUUAGAUACCCUGGUAGUCCUAGCCCUAAACGAUCAGGACUUGGGGUGCCACCCGUUCGGGUGUCGUCCCGGAGCUAACGCGUUAAGUCCUGCACCUGGGGAGUACGGUCGCAAGACUGAAACUCAAGGAAUGACGGGGGCCCGCACAAGCGG